GGUGACCGUGUACUGCUGUUUACAGGGCCCUCGGAAUCAAGAGGCACAGUAGAAGAAACCUAAUUUAUGGGGAUUUUUUUCCGUAGUAAUAAUAAAAGGUGGAAUUUGUGUAAUUAGAUUGUGGUAAUUUUAAGGAUUUCCAGCUUUGACUAUCAGAGCCAUUUAUUCUGUUUAGCAGGCCCGAUUCAGCACUUAAUUGUCAUGUUUAUACUGGGAUAUUAAUAGGUCAGAUUGGUGGGAUUCUGAGUCGGAAACAAAAGCAUUGACCUUCGUCCAUCAGAAAAGGAGGAGAGGGGAGUUCCCAUCGUGGCUCAUGGUUGACAAAUCCGACUAGGAACAUGAGGUUGCAGGUUCGAUCCUUGGCCUUGCUCCCUGGGUUAAGGCCGGCGUUGCCAUGAGCUAUGGUGUAGGUCGCAGACGCAGCUCGGACCCUGCAUUGCUGUGGCCGUGGUGCAGGCCGGCGGCUACAGCUCUGAUUUGACCCCUAGCCUGGGAACCUCCAUAUGUCUCGGGUUCGGCCCAAGAAAAGACCAAAAAAAAAGGAAAAGAAAAGGAGAGAGUCACGUAUAUUCGGGUUUACACGGUGUUGACACAACGGGGUCCUGAAAUAGUUCGUUCGCACGGCUAGUUUCCUACAUGCCUGCUCUCCAAAGGCCAGUAGAAAAUAAAGCUAAUCCAAUGAAUUUGCUCGUUGCCAUACUAAUGCAAUACCAUGCGUUAGAUAAUUGGAAAAUGUAAAUUUUACAAAUACUUUCCAUGUCUCACCUAGAAGCCUAUUGGAAACAGCUCAUAAAUAUUAUAAUUAACUGCCUUGCGUUUGGUUCCCUUGUGUAUUUUAUCUUGUCACUGGUGCCAGGGAAAGUGAGUAGAAGGUGAGAUAGAAGGAGGUGGAGGGUGGACCGACAGAGGUCAGGUCUUGGGCGGAAACCUGCGUUCCAUUCUCUUCUCUGUCCUUUGCUCUUUGUCAAGACCAGAUAAAACGGGAGAAGGGCAGCAGCUGAGGAAACGGCCUUAUUUGAAUUCUCGGGUGAACCUUACUCUUGACACGGUCGAUUUACCUAAAAGUUCAGUGGCCCCCAGUCUUGCAUUUUCUCACUACAAGUUCUGUUUCGAAAACCCUCUGAAGACCAGAAGUCUUGAUAAACCCUGCAGGAAACCCCAGAAUUGAUUGUUUAAAUGUUGCCUCUUUCUGGACCUCUGUGAGCGCUGCAGGCCGGGAAGCCGCCGUGCGCUGGGGACCCCGCUGCAGCAGCGUGUGCAGCCGUGAAAUACGGAGGGUGCGUCACCUCGCAGCAUCUCCGCUGGAGUUAGGUACUCUCAGGACCCGGCCAUUCUGGUAGUGGGAUGCUGUGUGUUCUGCAAACUCGGGCAUCUUUUUUUUCUUUUUUCUUUUUUCUGAUGUAGGCUUCCUAAAAACAGCGAACGAGAUUGAUGAAAAUUUUUAAAAACUUACCAGCCAGCAUGUCUGAAG
rnacentral:lncRNA from 1 species